rnacentral:rRNA from 1 species
CCUGCGGAAGGAUCAUUACUGAGUGAGGGCCCUCUGGGUCCAACCUCCCACCCGUGUUUAUUGUACCUUGUUGCUUCGGUGCGCCCGCCUCACGGCCGCCGGGGGGCUUCUGCCCCCGGGUCCGCGCGCACCGGAGACACUAUUGAACUCUGUCUGAAGAUUGCAGUCUGAGCAUAAACUAAAUAAGUUAAAACUUUCAACAACGGAUCUCUUGGUUCCGGCAUCGAUGAAGAACGCAGCGAAAUGCGAUAACUAAUGUGAAUUGCAGAAUUCAGUGAAUCAUCGAGUCUUUGAACGCACAUUGCGCCCCCUGGUAUUCCGGGGGGCAUGCCUGUCCGAGCGUCAUUGCUGCCCUCAAGCACGGCUUGUGUGUUGGGCUCCGUCCCCCCGGGGACGGGUCCGAAAGGCAGCGGCGGCACCGAGUCCGGUCCUCGAGCGUAUGGGGCUUUGUCACCCGCUCUGUAGGCCCGGCCGGCGCCAGCCGACAACCAAUCAUCCUUUUUUCAGGUUGACCUCGGAUCAGGUAGGGAUACCCGCUGAACUUAA